rnacentral:rRNA from 1 species
AAUGCCGGAUGCUCCAGUUGAUCGCAUGGUCUUCUGGGAAAGCUUUCGCGGUAUGGGAUGGGGUCGCGUCCUAUCAGCUUGACGGCGGGGUAACGGCCCACCGUGGCUUCGACGGGUAGCCGGCCUGAGAGGGCGACCGGCCACAUUGGGACUGAGAUACGGCCCAGACUCCUACGGGAGGCAGCAGUGGGGAAUAUUGCACAAUGGGCGCAAGCCUGAUGCAGCGACGCCGCGUGAGGGAUGGAGGCCUUCGGGUUGUAAACCUCUUUUAUCGGGGAGCAAGCGAGAGUGAGUUUACCCGUUGAAUAAGCACCGGCUAACUACGUGCCAGCAGCCGCGGUAAUACGUAGGGUGCAAGCGUUAUCCGGAAUUAUUGGGCGUAAAGGGCUCGUAGGCGGUUCGUCGCGUCCGGUGUGAAAGUCCAUCGCUUAACGGUGGAUCCGCGCCGGGUACGGGCGGGCUUGAGUGCGGUAGGGGAGACUGGAAUUCCCGGUGUAACGGUGGAAUGUGUAGAUAUCGGAAAA